UGCCGUUCCUAGAGGAUUCAAGAACUAACUGAUUCAGCGUAACAAAAGUAUAAGACAAAACUUUCUCUUUUGUUGCUGCCCUUUCACAAACAGCAGUAAUUAAUAGCAAGAUAAAAACAUACUAGCAACUGUCCUGUUUUCAAAAGACCAGCUAUACGUCAGCAUUCUUCCUUUGGAGGAUCACCUAUAAGACAGAAACACUGAAGUGGAGGUGCCGUUCCCAAUUUACCUGUGAAGUAAGUUGACUAUAUAAUGACUGAUGCAAGGAGUGGUGGAAGCAAGGGAGUUCCUGCUACAAGAGACAACCACCCCCAAAAAAGUAAACCUAAAUUUCAAGGAUGGUGACCACCCCCUUGGCAUAUGUCAGGAAAAAUACAUAGAAGACAGCUAAAUAAAGACUAAG